GAGAGCAAAACGUGAGUGAAAUUGAAUUUCGUUUCAAUGUCGAGCAGAAAACCCUACGAAAUGUUUAUGAAACUCAUAACGGGGGAUGUAUGGAUGGGAAUCGCACAGAAGGGCACAACUGGACGGGACUUUCAGUACAUUUGGGCUGACACUAGUGGGCGUGGCAAGUCAAAAACAACUAACAGUCCAUUUGGCUGUGUGUUGUGUGUGGCACGAAGCGCGAAGGUGGAAAGGGUGAAAGUGGCAACACAAUGCUCCAACCAAGUGCAGCGCAUUUUCUGGGUGUCUGCGUGCUUUUCCCUUUGCUUUUUGCUGCGCUUUAAGCUGCUCCUUUGCAUUUUUCAAGCAUCAAUUAAACAGCAAAAAGCUUUUCCAACAGCUCCCAAACGACAGGCAUGACAGGCGCGCGCAGGGCGCGGGUGAACGCAAAAGAUGCGGAGCGAGUGCAAAAAGUUGCCAAAGCGCAUUUCCCGGCAAAGGAGCUAGGGCAGCGGGGAAGAGCAGCAGGUGGGGAGAGCGGCGGACGAGCUGCACUGCCAGUCACAGCUGCCGCGCUAAAGACAUCAAGUGACAUCAACCCGUUCUAAUUACGGCGGGUCAAGCCAACAAAAGAACGCGGAAGGACAUCAAAAUUGGUUCACUUUGUGAUCAACGAACCCAGAACGCUCGCAAGUGCCUCAUUUGUACCACUACAGCACCAAGUGCUACAAACUGCUAAGGAAACAGCUUCUAGGCAAAAGUUUCUUGAAUUAAAUUCACUCACUUCACUUACAGCUCUCUGUCUGAGCAGCGAGCUCUCCACUCGCGCGUGGUCCACUCGUUGAAGCUGUACUCGCUAGCUUUUAUCUGAAGAAACGAAUGGAUGCUUGGCACAUGUACAACAACGAGCCUUUGCGUACGCUAAGAAGUGGGAACGAGUAGUUCCUGCGCCAAGAAGCGAGUUACUUACUCGUUAGCUAGCUGUAAGUACAGUUACAGCUGAAGUAACGAAUGGAUUCUUGGCGCCUGUACAACAACAAUUAGUUGCAUGACCAAAGUCACAAGCCACUCUUGUAUCGGACAAUUCUUAAAAUAAUUAGAUUUAAUCCUGAUGAAAGUAUGGGUGAUCGUUCGUAGAUGCUCAGGAUGCUGUUCAGGAAAAUUAUUAUUUGCAUUGGUUCCACUAAAAGUACAGUUUUUAUUCUUGCAGUUCAAUGCAAUUCGAUAAUUUUCGGUAUGCCUUAAAAUCAUUUUGAAUAUUAAAUACUGGUGAACUGGCGGUGCGGCUCGGAAUAAGCCCAUGUUAUUAUGCCCAGCAUAAGCCAGUAUAAAAUUGUGUCAAGGCCCACCAUACAACGAGUAUUCAACAAGAACAGUGAAUGUACUAAUAUACUAUUUAAACAGCA